AGGCCGACAAUGAUGAUGAUGGGGACGAUGAUGAGCGAGUGCUACUGACGACAGAGCAAGUGCUACUGACGAUGGAUGUGAUGGCUCGGAUAGUGACGAGACGAUAGAGGACUCUCAUUUGGUGACUUUUGUCAUUAUUUUGGCUCCGUGAACUCCCAGCGACACACGGAACGGGUAAUCACGCCAAAGGCGCUUCGAUGGUUUCAAGGGAUUUCGAACUCGGGGUUGAGACUCAAUGUUGGAUAUUUCCUUUCGUGGAUCGGUUUCAGAUAUGUUAUGGUGAAUAUAUGUAUAUUAUGGAUUUUGGUAUUAUGGUUUGUAGUUGAAUGUGGAUAUGUGGUUA